GUCUUCUUCUCGUCCGCGGAAUCAAGCGCCGCCCCUCCUAGCCGUCCCAGGCCACCGGACACAUCGACUUCUCAUCGACAAGGUAGAGGAGGACGGCCACAGGGAGGAUGGUUGAAAACAGGUUGGUCAUGAGGAGCUGCUCACGUCGCCGUCCGGAGUGGGGAGCCGGGAGUGGGCGCACAAGACGAGUAGGCCAUCCAGUCCAGUCUCGAGCUCGUCGUCCAGCCCCGUGAAAGAGCUCUGUCACGGGCAAGGGCGAGGCUUCUUGAACAACAGGCACUUCCGGCCUCGACGUUCUUGUUUCGAUCCUGGCCGGCCAAGCGCGAGCACUUCUCCCGAUUCAGAAUAAACUCUAGAUGGGGAUCGAUGUGGUAAUCUUGAUCUUCAGCCUGCUGCCAGCCCUAACCUACGGUGACACGGAAAUGGAAGCAAGUAGGCGUCCACCUAGGCGCUUCAGUCCAUGAACGCCCAGCUGCAAAGCCACCGUCUCCCAUCGGCUUCUCGCUCUAGGGCUCGAGGCCUGCAAUGACUUGCUGCCGACAACGGGUCGCUGACGCGGACCAAGAGUCGCCUUCCAGGCCCUCCACCAGCACGUCGCAGCAACCCCCUCAAUUCCGGUUAUGCUCCACCGAGAGCAAUACCACCACAGUACAAG